UGCUCAACAGGUGGGACUGUUUAAUUUGAUUUAAAACAAUAAAGAAAUGUGAUAUUUCUUGCACCCAAGUACCAUGGAACAAUUCUUAUCAUUACAGUUUUGGUUCCGAUUUCACAGUUGGGACUGGUCAUCCUCAACAUUGCCUAUAUGAAGUCCUGAUUUGAAGAAUUCCUCCCAUCAUUCUGUUGGAAUUUGGCUUAGGUGCAUCCUAUUGUUACAUUUCUGGUGAUCACAUAAUCUGCUCUCUGUCUGAGUGUGCUAAUAGAACACAGGGACAGGCUGUAGGGUUUAGAACAUAAUGACGAAACAAUUAUGUCUUUUUUUCCUGUGAAUUGAGGAAAGACCAUCAUCAGUCAAAGUCAUGUGAGAAACACCUGGGUUCAGUUUCCACUGGAUGACACAGAAGUAGAGACCUAUAAAAAUAAAGCAGUGCUUCUCAGACUUUAGUGUCCAUGUGAAUUACCCCAGCAUCUUGUUAAAAUGCAGAUUCUGACUCAGUAGGUUUGGGGUGGGGCCUGCAAGUUUGCCUUCCUAACCAGCCCCCAGCUGAGGUCGUCCACAGACCACACUUCGGGUAGUAAGGGUAUAGAAUAUUUGAUGAAAUUUCUGUUCCAUCUCUUCCUCUAACUUGCUCUUUGACCUUUAAGUUAUUUAAACUUUCUUGAUCUCAGCUUCCUUAACUGUAAAAGAAGAGAAUUGGCUUUAGCAUUCCCAGGAAGGACAUUUGUUAUGUUUUGCUACUCAGUAUGCAUUGCCUUUUCCUAAUAGCACUUUGAUUUCCUUUAGGGGAAUUUACUGCCUUCCUUUGUGUGCAGUUGUGAUGGGUAGAUAAGUCUCAGGGCCUUCUGUCCCAUCAUGGCAGCUGAAGGAAACUCUAGAAGCUCGUUUCCUAAGAUCUGUCUUUCACAGCCUAGGUAUAGCAAGAGGCAGGAUAGGACUAAAACUUAGUGUGUUGGUUUCUUUCUCUAUCAGAACUUUGGUCUUGAGUACAGUAUACCUAAGGUAGAGGAACAGUCUAAGUUCAGCUCUUCCAGCUGUGGGGCCUGGGCUCAAUUGACAGUAAGAACUUGUGGAGUCUCCUAAUUUCUGUCUUUCCAAGCUUGGUUCCCUAGUCUUGCCUUCAGUAUUGUGAGCAGCACCAUAGCUUUCCAGAAUAUUCUCUUUUUACUUACGUUACCAUUUAAUUCCAGAAAGUCCAUUUCUGUUGCUUGCAACCAGAAAUUAAUAUACUCCUCUUAGCUUCUGGCUAGAGAUUUGUAGGAUUUAAGUCCUGAGCAGCUUAUUGAUGAGUUCGAUUACUGUUUUCAAAAAGAAAAGGAAAAGGCAUCAGAAUAUUUUCCCUAAAGAAGAUCAAUGGUUUUGAAAUCUUGGCUGUGUAGUUGGGAGUAGGUUACCGGUGCUGGUGAGGGAUGUAGAUUAUUUUCCAGCAAAUCGGUAAUUGUAGUAAGGUAAUGAGGUUAUUCUCCUGGAGAAACAGGUGAAGACAGAGAUGGAACUUGUGCUUCAGAAGCAAGCAGUGAGGCUCCUAAUGAGGCAUCUUGGACCUAUUUAUACUUGGAAAUGCCAGGGAGCAUUUAUAUUCUGCUUACUUUGACCCUAGUGCAAAAAGUUUUCUGAGAGGCUCCAGAGCUUUCUUUCCAAAACUGAGAAUAGUAGCUAAAAGCUGGCAGAGAAGAUUCUGGAGAGCAAGACCAUGGCUAAGCAGUAACAGAGCUAAUGACUCAGUCACCUUGAGUUGCAGCUUGAGGAAUGAAGACACUUGACACCUUACCCUCAUUGUCAGGACUGUAACAAGAAUAGGAAAUUCCAUAUGCAUAUGUUACUACCUCCUAACUGUGCUGGAGUGGCCAGCAGCUCGUUAGCUAAUUUUGGCUGCUCUUUCUGGUAUAGAGCUUCAGCUGCUAAAUCCUUUUCCUGUUGUCUGUCAGAGCCUACGAGGAAUGAAGUUGCAGUCCAUCAGUACAUUCCUCAUCUUUCUUGUCCGUAUCCUACAUUAGGGUUUUCAGGGGCCGGUAAAUAACACUCCUCUAUUCUCACUCCACAAUUCUGAGGAGUCAGAAAGAUGAAGAACACAUGCUAGCUUUACUGACAAAACUAUACUGAAGGAUGCAGCUUGGACCACUGGCUGAUAGGCUUUCCAGAACUUCAUUUCUGGUCCCAGUCUGGCUGUAGGCCCCUGCCAACAAGGG
rnacentral:lncRNA from 1 species